rnacentral:rRNA from 1 species
UCCAGACUCCUACGGGAGGCAGCAGUGGGGAAUAUUGCACAAUGGGGGAAACCCUGAUGCAGCAACGCCGCGUGAGUGAAGAAGUAUUUCGGUAUGUAAAGCUCUCUCAGCAGGGAAGAAGAAGGACGGUACCUGACUAAGAAGCCCCGGCUAACUACGUGCCAGCAGCCGCGGUAAUACGUAGGGGGCGAGCGUUAUCCGGAUUUACUGGGUGUAAAGGGAGCGUAGACGGUUAAUCAAGUCUGAAGUGAAAGCCCGCGGCUCAACUGCGGAACGGCUUUGGAAACUGAGUAACUGGAGUGCUGGAGGGGCAGGCGGAAUUCCUGGUGUAGCGGUGAAAUGCGUAGAUAUCAGGAGGAACACCGGUGGCGAAGGCGGCCUGCUGGACAGUAACUGACGUUGAGGCUCGAAAGCGUGGGGAGCAAACAGGAUUAGAUACCCCGGUAUCA